rnacentral:rRNA from 1 species
UGGGGAAUUUUGGACAAUGGGCGCAAGCCUGAUCCAGCCAUGCCGCGUGCGGGAAGAAGGCCUUCGGGUUGUAAACCGCUUUUGUCAGGGAAGAAAUCCUUUGAGCUAAUACCUCGGGGGGAUGACGGUACCUGAAGAAUAAGCACCGGCUAACUACGUGCCAGCAGCCGCGGUAAUACGUAGGGUGCAAGCGUUAAUCGGAAUUACUGGGCGUAAAGCGUGCGCAGGCGGUGAUGUAAGACAGGUGUGAAAUCCCCGAGCUUAACCUGGGAAUUGCAUUUGUGACUGCAUCGCUAGAGUACGGUAGAGGGGGAUGGAAUUCCGCGUGUAGCAGUGAAAUGCGUAGAUAUGCGGAGGAACACCGAUGGCGAAGGCAGAUCUCUGGGCCGUAACUGACGCUGAGGAGCGAAAGGGUGGGGAGCAAACA